rnacentral:rRNA from 1 species
AUACGGAGGAUCCGAGCGUUAUCCGGAUUUAUUGGGUUUAAAGGGUGCGCAGGCGGCCAUUUAAGUCAGCGGUUAAAUCGUGGGGCUCAACCCCAUUCUGCCGUUGAUACUGGGUGGCUUGAUUGCGGUCGAGGUUGGCGGAAUUCGUUGUGUAGCGGUGAAAUGCAUAGAUAUGACGAAGAACACCGAUUGCGUAGGCAGCUGACCAGACCGCAAAUGACGCUCAUGCACGAAAGGGCGGGGAUCGAACAGGAUUAGAUACCCUGGUAGUCCGCACAGUAAACGAUGAAUACUUGUUUUCGGCGAUAUAAUGUCGGAGGCAAAGCGAAAGCGAUAAGUAUUCCACCUGGGGAGUACGCCGGCAACGGUGGAACUCAAAGGAAUUGACGGGG